GUCAAAAUUAGGAGACUCUACAAGAUGGAUUAUUUCUGAAUAUAUAGUUUUAAUUCAGUUUAACAUGAAUUAGUUGUCAAGGAUGAAAUACACAUUUAAUAUAUAGAAGUUCUCUUCCGAUUUCAGGUAGUGACUUCACAAAGCGUGAUCAAAUUAUAUAGCGUCUUCAACUGCAAACUUGUUAUCAUCGUACGUAUAUUGU
rnacentral:lncRNA from 1 species